rnacentral:rRNA from 1 species
AGAGUUGAUCCUGGCUAGGACGAACGGCUGGCGGCGUGCCUAACACAUGCAAGUCGAGCGGAGACAUACGACGGAGUUGAAGUUUCGGAUGGAUAUGAAGAUGUAUGUUUAGCGGCGGACGGGUGAGUAACGCGUGAGCAACCUGUCCUCACAGGGGGAUAACACAGCGAAAGUUGUACUAAUACCGCAUAAGACCACAGCGGGACAUCCUGCAGGGGUCAAAGGAGCAAUCCGGUGAAGGGUGGGCUCGCGUCCGAUUAGCCAGUUGGCGGGGUAACGGCCCACCAAAGCGACGAUCGGUAGCCGACCUGAGAGGGUGAACGGCCACAUUGGAACUGAGAGACGGUCCAAACUCCUACGGGAGGCAGCAGUGGGGAAUAUUGGGCAAUGGGCGAAAGCCUGACCCAGCAACGCCGCGUGAGUGAAGAAGGCCUUCGGGUUGUAAAGCUCUGUUAUAGUUGACGAAGGAAGUGACGGUAGGCUAUAAGGAAGCCCCGGCUAACUACGUGCCAGCCGCAGC